UUUAAUCGAAGCAACGCGAAGAACCUUUACCAGGUCUUGACAUCCCGAUGCUAUUUCUAGAGAUAGAAAGUUACUUCGGUACAUCGGUGACAGGUGGUGCAUGGUUGUCGUCAGCUCGUGUCGUGAGAUGUUGGGUUAAGUCCCGCAACGAGCGCAACCCCUAUUGUUAGUUGCCAUCAUUCAGUUGGGCACUCUAGCGAGACUGCCGGUAAUAAACCGGAGGAAGUGGGAUGACGUCAAAUCAUCAUGCCCCUUAUGACCUGGGCUACACACGUGCUACAAUGGUUGGUACAACGAGUUGCGAGUCGGUGACGGCGAGCUAAUCUCUUAAAGCCAAUCUCAGUUCGGAUUGUAGGCUGCAACUCGCCUACAUGAAGUCGGAAUCGCUAGUAAUCGCGGAUCAGCACGCCGCGGUCGAAUACGUUCCCGGGCCUU
rnacentral:rRNA from 1 species